CCUACGGGUGGCAGCAGUGGGGAAUUUUGCGCAAUGCUCGUAAGAGUGACGCAGCGACGCCGCGUGAAUGACGAAGGCCUUCGGGUCGUAAAGUUCUUUCAUCAGGGAAGAAAAUGAAUAUAGGCAAUGGUGAAUGAAUUAGCGGUACCUGAAUAAGCGCCCCCGGCUAACUCCAUGCCAGCAGCGGGGGUAAUACGGAGGGGGAGAGGGUUUUACGGAGUGACUGGGCGUAAAGGUCCAGUAGGCGGUGUUGUAAGUCAUUAGUCAAAGACUAGAGAUCAACUUUAGUAAGGCUAGUGAUACUAUAAUACUAGAGUAUCAGAGAGGAUUGCAGAAUUCCUGGUGUAGCGGUAAAAUGCGUAGAUAUCAGUAGGAAUACCGUUAGCGAAGGCGGCAAUCUGGCUGGAAACUGACGCUGAGGUGCGAAAGCGUGGGUAGCAAACAGGAUUAGAUACCCCAGUAGUC
rnacentral:rRNA from 1 species